GCCUUCGUGGUGUAAUGGCCAGUGUACUCGGCUCGUAUUCGAGAGGUCCAAGGUUCGAGUCCCGGCGAGGGCA
rnacentral:tRNA from 1 species